UACGGGGGGGGCAAGCGUUGUUCGGAAUUACUGGGCGUAAAGGGCUCGUAGGUGGCCAACUAAGUCAGACGUGAAAUCCCCAGGCUUAACCUGGGAACUGCGUCUGAUACUGGAUGGCUUGAAUUCGGGAGAGGGAUGCAGAAUUCCAGGUGUAGCGGUGAAAUGCGUAGAUAUCUGGAGGAAUACCGGUGGCGAAGGCGGCAUCCUGGACCGAGAUUGACACUGAUGAGCGAAAGCCAGGGGAGCAAACGGGG
rnacentral:rRNA from 1 species